rfam:Glarea lozoyensis ATCC 20868 chromosome Tnknown GLAREA14, whole genome shotgun sequence.
GCCCGGCUAGCUCAAUCGGUAGAGCGUGAGACUCUUAGAAUCCGCAAUAAAACGCGGAAUUCGUACAUCUCAAGGUUGCGGGUUCGACCCCCGCGUUGGGCU